UACGUAGGGUGCGAGCGUUGUCCGGAAUUAUUGGGCGUAAAGAGCUCGUAGGCGGUUUGUUGCGUCUAUCGUGAAAACCUGCAGCUUAACUGUGGGCUUGCGGUGGAUACGGGCAGACUUGAGUUCGGUAGGGGAGACUGGAAUUCCUGGUGUAGCGGUGGAAUGCGCAGAUAUCAGGAGGAACACCGAUGGCGAAGGCAGGUCUCUGGGCCAUUACUGACACUGAGAAGCGAAAGCAUGGGGAGCGAACAGG
rnacentral:rRNA from 1 species